rnacentral:rRNA from 1 species
CCUACCAAGGCGAUGAUACAUAGCCCGAGUUGAGAGACUGAUCGGGCCACAUUGGGGACUGAGACACGGGGCCCAAACUCCUACGGGAGGGCAGCAGUAGGGAAUCUUCCACAAUGGACGCAAGUCUGAUGGAGCAAACGCCGCGUGAGUGAAGAAGGGUUUCGGCUCGUAAAAAGCUCUGUUGUUGGUGAAGAAGGACAGGGGUAGUAACUGACCCUUUGUUUGACGGUAAUCAAUUAGAAAGUCACGGGCUAACUACGUGCCAGCAGCCGCGGUAAAU